CAGUGACCCUUAACAACAACAACAAAAAUGGCGGCCACAAGCAGCAGCACUGAUAUUGUUCCAUCUUAUGCUGUCUGGAUGCUGCAGUCACAAUCUCCAGUACACCUGAAAUGUUGCCCAUAUUACCUUACACCUGCCGUCCCUCUUCAUCUAGUAUUCUCCUCCUGAAGUGAGAAACAAGAUGGCCAUUGCAAGACACUUCCUAGAUUACUGUGAGAAAGCCAAUAAAAGAAUUUAUGCCAGCAAUUGGUGUGGUUUACACACAUUCUAGGCUCCUCUACAUAGCAACUGACUGGGUAAAUAUUGAAGUUAUUGUUCAAUAAAACUGUAAAAGAAUUUCAGUACAGACAGAUUAGACUUUCAAGACUACAUUAUUUUGUUGCAUAUAUAUAUAUCCCAUUUUGUAUGUCUAUUUAUGUCAGCUGGAGACAAGUAAAAUCGAACGUAGAUCUACGUUCGGAAUGCUACACGAGCGAAAGUAGAUCUACGUUUGGACAGUUUAAGGGUUAAAUAUUAUAU